rnacentral:rRNA from 1 species
CCUACGGUAGGCAGCAGUGAGGAAUAUUGGUCAAUGGGCGGGAGCCUGAACCAGCCAAGUCGCGUGAGGGAAGACGGUCCUAUGGAUUGUAAACCUCUUUAGGCGGGGAGCAAUGCCGGGCACGCGUGCCCGGAGGGAGAGUACCCGAAGAAUAAGCAUCGGCUAACUCCGUGCCAGCAGCCGCGGUAAUACGGAGGAUGCGAGGUUUAGCCGGAUUUAUUGGGUUUAAAGGGGGCGUAGGCGGAUUUUUAAGUCAGCGGUAAAAUGUCCGGGCUCAACCCGGGCCGGCCGUUGAAACUGGGGAUCUUGAGUGGGCGAGAAGUAUGCGGAAUGCGUGGUGUAGCGGUGAAAUGCAUAGAUAUCACGCAGAACUCCGAUUGCGAAGGCAGCAUACCGGCGCUCAACUGACGCUCAUGCACGAAAGUGUGGGUAUCGAACAGGAUUAGAUACCCGUGUAGUC